CCUGGUGGUGCACGUCCCCAACCUUAUGUGGAUUUCCUAAAUUCUGCAAAAAAGGUUUGGAAGCUGAUCAAUCAAUACUGGAACUCCCUCUUCCCCAGAAGAGACAUCCUGGCCUCCAUGCAGAGGAAUGUGUGGAUGGACAUAUAUUUAAGGAAGACACUAAACCAGAAACUACUACAUUACACCCUCUUAGAAGACUUCUAAGAUUGUUGUCAUGCCUACCACAGACAUUCAGAUGAUGUGUAUUGUUGAUUGUGAUUUCAUGUUUGGACCUGAUGAAGGAGUUUGAAGUCUCCAGAGCAGCAAAGAGAGUGGGGAGUAGAACUAUUCAUCUUUAGGUCACUCAUCAUC
rnacentral:lncRNA from 1 species